AGUGAACGCUGGCGGUAGGCCUAACACAUGCAAGUCGAACGGCAGCACAGUAAGAUCUUGCUCUUACGGGUUGCGAGUGGCGGACGUGUGAGGAAUACAUCGGAAUCUACUUUUUCGUGGGGGAUAACGUAGGGAAACUUACUCUAAUACCGCAUACGACCUACGGGUGAAAGCAGGGGAUCUUCUGACCUUGCGCGAUUGAAUGAGCCGAUGUCGGAUUAGCUAGUUGGCGGGGUAAAUGCCCACCAAGUCGACGAUCCGUAGCUUGUCUGAGAGGAUGAUCAGCCACACUGGAACUGAGACACGGUCCAGACUACUACGGGAGGGAGCAGUGGGGAAUAUUGGACAAUGGGCGCAAGCAUGAUCCAGCCAUACCGCGUGGGUGAAGAAGGCGUUCGGGUUGUAAAGACCUUUUGUUGGGAAAGAAAAGCAGCAGGUUAAUACGCAGCUGUUCUGACGGUAACCAAAGAAUAAGCACCGGCUAACUUCGUG
rnacentral:rRNA from 1 species